AGCCGUCGAUGAUCGGGUGCGACGAUGCCGGGCGGACAGGGCCCGCCCUCCGGACUGCCUGAGUGAGCCGUCGGGCGGUCGAUGAGGGUGGGGGAUCGGUCGGGCCCACAUUUUUAAGGUUCUUUCA
rnacentral:snoRNA from 1 species